UUAUGGCCAUAUCACGUGAAAACACUGGUUUUCAUACAAUCACUAAAGUUAAACCAAUGUUGAGCCUGGUCAGUACCUAGAUGGGUGACUGCUUGAGAAUACCAGGUGCUGUAA